CUCUCUCUCUCUCUCUCUCUCUCUUUUGCUCUCCUGUUGCUGACUCUGCAUCCGGGUUUCUGCUCACCUGACUCUCAUACCUGUCGCAGGAGUCUUGUUUAUGCCCCAUCGCCUCGGCCUGAUCAGGUUGUUCCUUAUUUGUUUUUAUGUCGGAUUCUUACUUUCCUGGAGGCUGUCCCUCUGAGGCUGUAGCUGGGGAAGUCUGGCACUGGCUGCUUCUUCCUACGACCAAGCGACGCUGCUUCAUCAAUGUGAAACUUUAACUUGGAUUUAUUUCUGUUAUCAUCGCUCCCAGGGUCGUGAUAACACUCCAUCAAAAGCUUCAGCUUUCUGAAGCAGUUUGGAGAGUGAAGACUCAGUGUUCCUCAGGCACACAGCUUCUACAGGCCAAACAGAAAAGGAUGAGAGUGUGAGGGUAAAGUGCAAACUACGUCCAGGACAGAAACAUCUGCAUUAUACUGUUAACACAACUUUGGCUCUUCACAAGCACCUGCACAAACUAGCUAUGAACCCAGAGUGGUGAUACAGCUGAGUGAAUGCAAACCCCAGCACGCCCUGAAAUUUAACAGUUAACCUGUCAGACGUGAAGCUGUUCACCAGACUGGGCAGAGAAAAACUUGUCAGUGCAUCCAGUUUGGAAGAAACUGCAGAAAAUGGCCUUGGCUCCAAAAACAGCAGAGGGCACAGACCUGCAAUACUUAUCUAGAGUAAUGGAAAAACUUAUUAAAGAUGCAGAUUCAUUCUUCCCACAAUUUAACAGUCAUCAAUCAAAGAUGAGAGAGAUUGUAGAAAAGCUC
ensembl:lncRNA